rnacentral:rRNA from 1 species
CCUACGGGAGGCAGCAGUGAGGAAUAUUGGUCAAUGGGCGGAAGCCUGAACCAGCCAAGUCGCGUGAGGGAUUAAGGCCCUGCGGGUCGUAAACCUCUUUUGCCGGGGAGCAGAGGUCCGGACGUGUCCGGGCCGGGAGAGUACCCGGAGACAAAGCAUCGGCUAACUCCGUGCCAGCAGCCGCGGUAAUACGGAGGAUGCGAGCGUUAUCCGGAUUUAUUGGGUUUAAAGGGUGCGUAGGCGGGCAUUUAAGCCGGCGGUCAAAUGUCGGGGCUCAACCCCGGCCUGCCGUCGGAACUGGGGGACUGGAGGGGGCAAGAGGAGAGCGGAAUGCGAGGUGUAGCGGUG